rnacentral:rRNA from 1 species
GACAGAGGGUGCAAACGUUGCUCGGAAUCACUGGGCGUAAAGGGCGCGUAGGCGGUCAGCACAAGUCAGUUGUGAAAUCUCCGGGCUUAACUCGGAAAGGUCAACUGAUACUGUGCGACUAGAGUGCGGAAGGGGCAACUGGAAUUCUCGGUGUAGCGGUGAAAUGCGCAGAUAUCAGGAGGAACACCGAUGGCGAAGGCAGGUCUCUGGGCAUUAAUUGACGCUGAGGAGCGAAAGCAUGGGGAGCGAACAGG